AGAACGAACGCUGGCGGCAGGCUUAACACAUGCAAGUCGAGCGCCCCGCAAGGGGAGCGGCAGACGGGUGAGUAACGCGUGGGAAUCUACCUAGCUCUUCGGAAUAGCUCCGGGAAACUGGAAUUAAUACCGAGUACGCCCUACGGGGGAAAGAUUUAUCGGAGUUAGAUGAGCCCGCGUUGGAUUAGCUAGUUGGUGGGGUAAUGGCCUACCAAGGCGACGAUCCAUAGCUGGUCUGAGAGGAUGAUCAGCCACACUGGGACUGAGACACGGCCCAGACUCCUACGGGAGGCAGCAGUGGGGAAUAUUGGACAAUGGGCGCAAGCCUGAUCCAGCCAUGCCGCGUGAGUGAUGAAGGCCCUAGGGUUGUAAAGCUCUUCAGGUGGGGAAGAUAAGUGACGGUACCCACAGAAGAAGCGUCCGGCUAACUUCGUGCCAGCAGCCGC
rnacentral:rRNA from 1 species